rnacentral:rRNA from 1 species
AUUCGAAGGGACUCUUGCCGUAAAACCCCCAAAUUUUCUAAUGGUGACCUCGAUCAGUAG